rnacentral:rRNA from 1 species
UCUACGUGGGGCUGCAGUGGGGAAUAUUGGACAAUGGGCGAAAGCCUGAUCCAGCCAUGCCGCGUGUGUGAAGAAGGCCUUCGGGUUGUAAAGCACUUUCAGUGGGGAAGAAAGCCUUGGGGCUAAUACCCUCGAGGAAGGACAUCACCCACAGAAGAAGCACCGGCUAACUCCGUGCCAGCAGCCGCGGUAAUACGGAGGGUGCGAGCGUUAAUCGGAAUUACUGGGCGUAAAGCGCGCGUAGGCGGUCUGAUAAGCCGGUUGUGAAAGCCCCGGGCUCAACCUGGGAACGGCAUCCGGAACUGUCAGGCUAGAGUGCAGGAGAGGAAGGUAGAAUUCCCGGUGUAGCGGUGCAAUGCGUAGAGAUCGGGAGGAAUACCAGUGGCGAAGGCGGCCUUCUGGACUGACACUGACGCUGAGGUGCGAAAGCGUGGGUAGCAAACAGGAUUAGAUACCCGAGUAGUC